rnacentral:rRNA from 1 species
AUAUCAAUAAGCGGAGGAAAAGAAACUAACAAGGAUUCCCCUAGUAACUGCGAGUGAAGCGGGAAAAGCUCAAAUUUAAAAUCUGGCGGCUUUGGUCGUCCGAGUUGUAUUCUAGAGAAGUGUUUUCCGCGUUGGACCGUGUAUAAGUCUCUUGGAACAGAGCGUCGUAGAGGGUGAGAAUCCCGUCUUUGACACGGACUACCAAUGCUUUGUGAUGCGCUCUCAAAGAGUCGAGUUGUUUGGGAAUGCAGCUCAAAAUGGGUGGUAAAUUCCAUCUAAAGCUAAAUAUUGGCGAGAGACCGAUAGCGAACAAGUACCGUGAGGGAAAGAUGAAAAGCACUUUGGAAAGAGAGUUAAACAGUACGUGAAAUUGCUGAAAGGGAAACGCUUGAAGUCAGUCGCGUUGGCUAGAACUCAACCAGGCUUGCCUGGCGUACUUUCUAGUCAACGGGCCAGCAUCAGUUUUGACCACAGGAAAAAGGCCAGGGAAAUGUGGCACCUUCGGGUGUGUUAUAGUCUCUGGUCAUAUACUGUGAUUGGGACUGAGGAUCGCGGCACGCGCAAGUUGUGCUUAGGAUGCUGGCGUAAUGGCUUUAAACGACCCGUCUUGAAACACGGACCAAGGAGUCUAACAAACCUGCGAGUAUUUGGGUGGUAAACCCGAGUGCGCAAUGAAAGUGAAAGUUGGGAUCCCUGUCGUGGGGAGCACCGACGCCCGGACCAGACCUUCUGUGACGGCUCUGCGGUAGAGCAUGUUUGUUGGGACCCGAAAGAUGGUGAACUAUGCCUGAAUAGGGUGAAGCCAGAGGAAACUCUGGUGGAGGCUCGUAGCGAUUCUGACGUGCAAAUCGAUCGUCAAAUUUGGGUAUAGGGGCGAAAGACUAAUCGAACCAUCUAGUAGCUGGUUCCUGC